CCCCCUUUUCAAUACUGGCUCUACCUGACCUUCCCCCCAAUGCACAAUCUUUGUUUGUUUCAACAGUGUCACAUGGCUUACAGUGAGCGGGCGAAUUUAACUUGGUUCUUGACCUUGAUCUUCUGGAUUGCCAUUUGAUAUUUAAGAAAUCUGAACUGGAACUUUCAUCAGAAAAUACUCCCCGCAAUGCUAAAGCAUGCUGUACUUUACUAGAUGGACUUUCAUCAGAAAAUAGCCCCCCCAAUGCUAAAGCAUGCUGAACUUUACUAGAUGGAGCGUUCUUUCUAACCUUUACACAGCACUGUAAGUUGAUCCCCAUUCUUGAAGUCCAAUCUUCUCCACAUUCAUCAUGGUCUUCAUCAUCAAUUGCGAGACAUAUCAAGUUCAGAUCUUCCUGGGAUGCAUUUUCUAGUGCAA
rnacentral:misc_RNA from 1 species